CCGGGACAUCUGGGUUCCUUCUGGCAAUUCUAUCUCCAGGCCCCUGCAAGGGGGCAGGGCCCAUCUCAACAACCCAUCUUCAAGAUCAUCUCCCUCCCCAGGCCCAAGAGAUAAAGCAACCAGAGGUCCGGCUGCUCCCGCUUCUUCAGCUCCAGGCAGAUUCUUUACCACUGAGCCACCGGGGAAGCCCUGCCAUUGCACCAGGGUCCACCCUAAUCCAGUGUGACCUCAUCUGAACUCGAUCGCAGCUGCAGAGAUCCUGGUUUCUGAGUAAAGUCACAUUCACGGGAAAAUGUCAAGUUCCAUCCAUGGAUGUGGCCGCCUAGCCUGCGGGGUUAGGGCAUGACCUUCACAGCACGUGCUAGGGGCUGGGGUGCCGCCGGGCAAAGAGAUCGCCAAC
ensembl:lncRNA